GGAAGAACAGCCGCCAUUCUCAGCAGCAACCAAAAGUUUGGAUCUGAAAUGCAGAGAUUUGCUUUGUAUCGCUUUCCCUAGAUGACACCUCUGGAAAAGCCGUGUUUAGGGGUAAUGAUGGCUGCUUGCCAGCUAUCUCCUCUGGGUGGAGUGUCACAAAUGGGAAGCAGAAACUUCCAUCCACAUGAGGAGGACUAACUCAUCUCUGACUGGAUUUUGGAGAGAAAGGCUACACUGGAGCCUUCCGUCCUGAUGCUGACCUGACAGUUCCAUGAGGGGCCCACAAGGUGAGAUGGUUCUACAGAACCUUGGAGAGCUCCAAGGGAACAAGGGGAUCUGAUAGAGCUCCAAAUGAGCACCUUUAUGUCUCCUGGCCCUGGCUAGCCUUCAUAGGCUCUCCUACUCCGGGAAGGCCCUUCCAUGGAACCAGAGCCCUUCUCCAUGGCAACUGACGUUUACCGGAAAGCAAGAAAAUCCUUCGUGCUGGAGGACUUAAACUGACUCGUUGUAGUUCAGCUAAACCACAAUAAAAGAGGCAAAUGCUUCCUUCAGUGCAGGGCUCCCUUUAAGGAAGUACUCGGGUCUCCAUCUGGGAAAACUAAA